rnacentral:lncRNA from 1 species
GCGGCAGUGGUGGAGUGGGUGACUGUUACAGGUGUCCCUGUCAUCCAAACAUUCCAAGAGUGCAGUUGCUGCACUAUUCGAUGAAUAAGCAGAAAUAGAUCAACAAGCUCCUGAAACUUAGCUCACUCCCCUGUACUUUUUCCCUCCUCAGCCUAGUCUCCACUGCUUUGACCUUUGCUUCAAGUGAAAUCUUCCUUCAACAACUUAAAAUACUUUCAAAAAUUAUUUCACAAAGGGCAGGGGACAUAACUCAACAGCACAGCACUUGCCUGGCAAGUAUGAGGUCCUGAGCUCAAUUCCCAGUACCAAAAAAAAUUUUCACAGAAAGGACAAAAGGUCAAGAUUUCAUGGGGCUGUGUCAAGAUUCCUCAGAGCUCGCUCACCCUUUUUGUGAGGUAGAACCAUGCUUUUCCUCACCCAAAUCCAAGACCAGACCCAAAGACAAGAUUGACAGAUUCUACAGAGUCUCACUGCCAAAACCACACAAGUAUUUACAGCGACAAGGAGUGCACCUCUCUCUCUCUCUCUCUUGGGGGCAUACACUCUAUUUCUUUGGGUAUGUUCUAAAAUUUCUGCCUAAUAAACUUUUCCUUUGAUGGGAGUCAGCAA